rnacentral:tRNA from 1 species
AGGGGCUUAAGUUAAUAAAGACUAAGAGCCUUCAAAGCCCUAAGCGAAAGUGCAAAUCUUCCAGCCCCUG